rfam:Vagococcus teuberi strain DSM 21459, complete genome.
AGAGUGUUAUGAUGUUGGAGAGUAAUCUCCGAGUCUAGCUCGGUGCAGUCCUCUGUCUCUUGUGAUAGAGGAC